rnacentral:tRNA from 1 species
CGUGGUGUAGUUUUAUGAAUGUUGGACUGUUACUCCAAAGACCAUGGUUCAGAUCCAUGCUCAGCCA